CAGGGCUCUAGCAUACUUCUAAAAUCCCAUUUCUAUAAUUGCACAACACUGUGGAAUAUGUCAGUGUUAUAUAAAAAUGAUAACAAUACAGCUCUAAGCACCAUAACCACUCCAAGCACCAUAAUCACUACAGCACAUUGUAUAUAGUUUAGUAGUUUUUUCUCACCUCUCCCCCUCCACUACAGCCGUUAGACAGCUGGGAGUUUAUACUUAGGACCUUACAUUAGCUCGCC